AAUGAAUUUAGAAGAAUCACCACAAUUUCCUUGGAGCGUACAUUCUUGGAAAAGCUGGACUUCUACACUUCAAAACUCCUGGCUUUGUUUGAGAUGAAGGGUGGGGUUGCUGGCAUAAGAAUUAGACAUUUGCUGGAUUCACUCAGCCAGCAAGAAGAUAGGCUUGAAGAUCGGCGAGACGUUGUGAUUCGCUGCCUCCUGUCUUUCCUUGGAGAAUCAGCUGAGGAGCUCAUUGAAGACCACCAGGAUGUCAGCAGAGACAUGAUUAAGGAUACUUUCUCCAGUCAUGUCAUGAAAAUCAUCGUACUGAGCAGAUCUGUAGAAGAGGAAGAUGCCAGUAUAUCUAAUGUCAUCAUUGUCAUCGAGGGAACUGA